AUUGAACGCUGGCGGCAGGCCUAACACAUGCAAGUCGAGCGAGUGGCGGACGGGUGAGUAAUGUCUGGGAAACUGCCUGAUGGAGGGGGAUAACUACUGGAAACGGUAGCUAAUACCGCAUACCAUCAGAUGUGCCCAGAUGGGAUUAGCUUGUGGGUGGGGUAAUGGCUCACCUAGGCGACGAUCCCUAGCUGGUCUGAGAGGAUGACCAGCCACACUGGAACUGAGACACGGUCCAGACUCCUACGGGAGGCAGCAGUGGGGAAUAUUGCACAAUGGGCGCAAGCCUGAUGCAGCCAUGCCGCGUGUGUGAAGAAGGCCUUCGGGUUGUAAAGUACUUUCAGCGAGGAGGCGUUACCCGCAGAAGAAGCACCGGCUAACUCCGUGCCAGCCGCCGCGGUAAUUC
rnacentral:rRNA from 1 species